UACGGAGGGCGCAAGCGUUGUUCGGAAUCACUGGGCGUAAAGCGCGUGUAGGCGGUUCGGCCAGUCGGCUGUGAAAGCCCGAGGCUCAACCUUGGAACUGCAGCCGAAACUGCCGGGCUCGAGUCCCGGAGAGGGUGGCGGAAUUUCCGGUGUAGAGGUGAAAUUCGUAGAUAUCGGAAGGAACACCAGAGGCGAAGGCGACCACCUGGACGGUGACUGACGCUGAGACGCGAAAGCGUGGGGAGCAAACAGG
rnacentral:rRNA from 1 species